UGGGGAAUAUUGCGCAAUGGGCGAAAGCCUGACGCAGCGACGCCGCGUGUGGGAUGACGGCCUUCGGUUGUAACCACUGUCGGGAGGGACGAAGAUCUGACGGUACCGUCCAAGGAAGCACCGGCUAACUCUGUGCCAGCAGCCGCGGUAAUACAGAGGGUGCAAGCGUUGUCCGGAAUUACUGGGCGUAAAGGGCGCGUAGGCGGCCCGAUAAGUAGGGGGUGAAAUUCCGCGGCUCAACCGCGGGGCGGCCUUCUAGACUGUCAGGCUUGAGCACGGUAGAGGCGAAUGGAAUUCCCGGUGUAGCGGUGGAAUGCGUAGAGAUCGGGAAGAACACCAGUGGCGAAGGCGGUUCGCUGGGCCGUUGCUGACGCUGAGGCGCGACAGCGUGGGGAGUAAACAGGAUUAGAUACCCUGGUAGUCCACGCCGUAAACGAUGGGCACGUAGGCGUCGGGGGGAGCG
rnacentral:rRNA from 1 species